UUCAGUUUAUGUCCUUACGUUAUAGGACGGGUCAUUAUAAAUUAUGCCUUUCAAUUAUCGCAACGCCUCGUCGCGUUUGGUUAAGCACAUGGUGGAACAGUAUGCACAUCACUGUACCUAACGUACUGUACACCUGUGAGCGGCAUGACGAGACAAAAGACGGUAAAACUCAUUAUUAAUCGGUGAUGCUGUACAUUCUGGAUGAUGCACAGCCACAUUUUAUAAUACUGUUUUUAUUUUCGUGUCGCGCCGCUCGCGUUCAAUAUAAAGUUAGACAAGACGCAAUUAAUUACUGGGAGAGUAGUGGUCUAAUGUUAAGAGUCGAACUUCACAAACCUUUCACUGCUUGCAGUAAGGCUAAAGUGCUACGUGAAUAAGAUGGGUGUAGUUUUGUGCUACUAGCUGUAAAGUGUUUUUGCACUAUUGAGUUAUAAAUACUGCCCAGUAAUACUUAACUAGAUGUAAAUCACAAUUCUUGUGUCAAUGUUUGUUUGUAAUCUUUUUCAGCUAUCCAUCUGAAAAAGAAAAGCUGGCACUCUCAAAGGAGAUUGUGUUGUUGGUUUAUGGUCUCAUUUGGUCAAAAAGAGGGACAUGUACCGAGCAUUUUUUUUUUUUUUUUGAUGGGCCAUCACACAGUGGAUUUAUAAAAUGAGAUUACAGAACAUCAGACGGUAGCUUCAACAGAGUUGAAGUGGGAGGACAUCAUCAAUAAAGAAUGCCAUUGACCAAACCUUCAGUCAUCAAAGAAGAUGGAUACAGGUAAUGACAAAAUCACCAAUUAUUGGGGGACAUCAAGUUUUCCAGACUUACCGAUGGGAAAGAAGAAAUGGGAAUGUGACAAUUAUUGAGAAACUCAGGGAAAAAGCAUCUUUAGAGAAGAAAAUGGACAUCAGACAUUUAUUGAAGAAAGCUGACAGUCAACAAUGGUAUGAUUUCCUAUCUCUGUUCCAAAUGUUUAAUUUGGAAAAUGACGUUUAAAAUGUAACAUUCAAAGUACGAUAUAAAAGUAAUCAUUUUUUAAGAAUUUUUUCUCAAUUUAUAUUUUGCAUGUGACCUGCAUGUUUACUUUACCCAGAUGAGAGCUGUGUUAUACAAUGUUAAGGAUACUCGUUCAUCUUCUGCUGUGUGAAUUCUGCUGUGUCAGUCCUGUGGGACUUGAUGCCGGCUGGUACCAGUGUGACGUCUUUGCUUACUAAAUGAUCAAAGGGUGUCUGAAAUCAGCUCAGCCACAGUUGGUUUCCAGCGGUUCUUCAGGACAUGGAGGCCACUACGUAACUGUUGCAAUGAACGAUUAUUUUGCCUUUCCACCUGAUGUUGACAAUCUGACCUGUGCGGUGCUGAAAACAACUUGCACUGAAAUAUAUCUUAAAAUAUAUCAGUGCCCUUUGUUUUGCCUCAAAAUGCACACCAGUAAUGUUUUUUGUUGAAACCAGUUAUAUUUCCUAAUUAAACUAAGGCCUAGUCCUGGAUUAAGCUAAUCCCCUGUCCGGGAAACCGCCCCUAAAUGUUUUGUGACGGAAAUUUCUUUGAAUACACUUGUCAAGUUCAUUUGAAGUAUUUUUCUAAAUGUAAGAUAACAUGUUAAUGUUUCAGGACAAGUUAAAAAUUUUUGAUAACUUGCAUGUUGGAAACGAUUUCAGACAUUGUUCUAUUCAACAUGUUUAACACAGUUGCUUUUAAAUUCAAUGAAUUAUUUUAUAAACAGUGUGUUAAAACGUAUCAAUGUAAUGUAUGUUUGAAGUAAUUAUACUUGCACUUACAUUUAUUUAAAUUAGCAUACAUCUAGCAACAUAAAGUAGGCUACUAGCAUAUUUUCAUGCAAGCAUUAAUUGUCAAAUAUUUGUUAUUUUACAAAUAAAUAGUUUGUGAACAAUAUUCAAUAGUUGUCUGCUUGAUUUCAUAAUUUAAAGUUUACAAAUCAUAUGUUUUUUUUCUCUUUAAUAUUAAAACUAAACAAUUACUCGGUAACACACAGUUGUGUUAGAUUAAUAGAAAGUUACACAUUAAUGUGUUUACUGAAGCAACACAUUUUUGUGUUGCAUUUUAUAACACAUAUUCUGUGUUAAAUUUAACUCAACAUGUGUUGUCCCUGCGCACACUCAGAACAUGUGUAAAAAAUAACACAUGUUGUGUUGUUUUUAACACAUUUGUUUUA